UAGGUUGACUGCUUGAGAGUACCGCUGCAAGGUUAGACUCAAAUGAAUUGACGAGGGCCCGCACAAGCGAUGGAGCAUGUGGUCUAAUUCGAUGCGACGUGAAGAACUCUACCUGGUCUUAGCAUCCACGGAAGUCUUCAGAGAUCAGAAUGUGCCUUCGAGAACCGUGAGCCAGAUGCUGCAUGACUGACGUCAGCUCGUGCUGUGAUAUGUUGAGUUAAGUCUCGUAACGAGCGCAAGUCUUAUCCUUUGUUGCCAGCGGUCUGGCCGAGAACUCAAAGGAGACUGCCAGUGAUAGACUGGAGGAAGGUGAGGAUGACGUCAAGUCAUCAUGGCUCUUACGACCAGAGCUACACACGUGCUACGAUGACAUAUACAGAGAGAAGCGAUCUCGCGAGAGCGAGCGGACCUCAUAGAGUACGUCGUAGUCUGGAUUGCAGUCUGCAAUUCGACUCCAUGAAGUCGCAAUCGCUAGUAAUUAUAGAUCAGAA
rnacentral:rRNA from 1 species